rnacentral:lncRNA from 1 species
GAAAGCCAGGCCGGCUAAGAACAUCCAUACGUGUUGACUCACAGCAUCUAUUUCUCAUUUCCCCCUUUGAACCCACCACACAUAAAAGCCCUGAUUGACAAGGAAGAGCAGAAAGCGCACACCUCCUGAUCUGCAUCCAUUACAGAGUUCAGUCUGGUGUGAGCAUUCACGCCUACAGCACUGUCCAGCGGCUUCCUGCUCUGCACCAGGCGCCUGCCCUCUGCUCACACUCUGGCACCUUCAUCGGUUCUCUGCCUGCAUAUCAAGCAUGAGGAGCUGGCUUCCAUGGCUCCUGAGAAUAAACUCAGGUUUAAUCAACUUGAUACCUGUUUUUAUUAUGGCAACCUGUAACCUAGAUGUGUCUAUAAAG